UUUUUUUUUUUUUUUUUUCAAAUUUAGGAUCUCUCUGUGUAGCUAUGGCUGACCUUAGACCAAGCUUGUUUAGAUUUCUAAAAUAUCUACCUGCCUCUCUCUGUUUCUCUGCCUCUCUAGUCCUGGGAUUAAAGUUGUGUGCCUUCAUGCCCUUCCGGGCAUCAAGUUCCUGAUGCUCCUCGCACCGUAUUUUGGGUUCAGAGGAGGGUCCCACCACACCUUUUCUUUCUCUCCUUAAGAUGGAGUCAAGGCUUAAAGUGAGCCUAGGCUGCAAACCAACUCAGGCUGCCCUCAAACUUAUGUCAGCUAUGCCUCAGCUUCCUUAGUGCUGGGAUUAUGGGUAUAAAUCACAAUGGACAGCUUUGAUGGAACCUGUAUUCUUAAUUUACUUGUGUUGGGGAGGCAGAUUCAGAAUUUCAGUUUGGGCAGAUAAGUACCCAUCUUUUCUUGACAUGCUGAGGGUUUGGGCAUGUACCAGAAUAUGGGAUUCAAAACUCAAGAAUUUGAGAGUCUGAUGUUCUGAGUAUACUGUUCUAAGUGCUAGGAGAGAAACUGGGUUGCUGAGCAUGGGUGCUUUCCAGAUCUUUAUAAUAAAGAGGCAGUUUAAAGGGGAAAAGGAGACCUUGCUCUUUUGCUUAUGGGAAUUGAAAGAGUUAGUAGCGAGAUUGACUUCUUCAAGAAAUAAAAAUGAAUAUUCUUGCUAAAUAUAGUGACCCACACCUUUAAUCCCAGCCCGUAGGAUACAGAGGCAGGUGGGUCUCUGAGUUCAAGGUCAGCCUGGUCAACAAAGAGAGUCUAGUACAGCUAAUAUAGCUAUAGUUUGUUACAUAGAGAAACCCUGUCUCAAAAAACAAGCAAGCAACCAAACAAACAAAGUGGGUAUUCUCUAUCUUCUGUCAGUUCUGUAUUUACCUCUCUACUCUUAGGAGCUAAUUCUUUUUGUAUGCUUGGCUUUGUGACAAGAUUGGCCAUCACGGUGAAAAACUGGAAAGAUUUUAAAUGUCCACCAAGAGUGCAGUGGCUUCUGGGAGGCAGAGGCAGGUGGAUCUUUUGUGAGUUUGAUGCCAUUCAAAGCUACAUACUGAUGCUGUGUUGUUUUUCUUUUAAAAAAAUUGCUAUGGCCAAUGUAGUUUGAUAAAUUCAUGAGAAUUAGUAGAGAAUUAGAAGAACUUUUUAUAUACUUUAAAAUUUAUCCAUUUAUUUAUGUAUAUGAGCACACUGUUGCUGUUUUCAGACACACCAGAAGAGGGCAUUGGAUCCCAUUACAGAUGGCUCUGAGCCACCAUGUGGGUGCUGGAAAUUGAACUUUGGACUUCUGGAAGAGUAGUCAGUCAGUGCUCUUAACUGCUGAGCCUCCUCUCCAGCCCCAAGUUUAUAUUUUUUAGUGAUUAUUGUCAGUAACAUUCUGUAUGUUCUUGUUUUACAAAAACUGUUGCAGAGUGGCUCAGUGCUACUGGUGAUUUAAAAUUCUUUGAAGUAAUUAACAAAAUAAUAAUAAAAUAAUAAUUUUUUCCCAUAAACUACUAAAAGUAUUUUAGAGUUAAGAUGCUAAGACUCUUAUUUGAAAGGUGAUAAGAGAUUAUUAGGGUUAGCUAUAAAUGAAGUUGACUUUUAAUUUUAUUUUACACAGACACAUGUAGCUUCAAAUAUCUGAUUAAAAAGUUAAAACUCAGUUAAGAGAAGGUAGAAAGGGGAAAAUACACUAGAACUUGGCUGGGAGACAGUGUAGCUCAAAUACUGUGCUUUGUGGUGUAGUGCAGAGCGAUUUAUGAAGGAUGCCUGUGCAUUACAGUUUGCCCAGGAUGUCAUAAUAGUAAACUGCAGGUGUGGUGUGAAAAAAAAUGUCUGUUCUGAAGAAUAGCAUGUUUUAUGAGUAAAAUUUUCUUUUUCUCUCUAUGCUGUGAGUAAGGAAACAAAGAUUAUGUCUUUGGUAGCAGGAUCCUGUUCUAAAGUAUCGCUUUGAAAUUAUAUGCCGGGUGUGGUGGCACAUGCCUUUAAUCCCAGCACUUGAGAGGCAGAGGCAGAGGCAGGCAGAUUUCUGAGUUCGAGGCUGGCCUGGUCUACAAAGUGAGUUCCAGGACAGCCAGGGCUAUAUAGAGAAACCCUGUUUUGAAAAACC
rnacentral:lncRNA from 1 species